UUAAUAGUAAAAUCUGCUCAAUGAACAUUUAAAUAGCCGCAAUUAGUGCUAAGGUAGCAUAAUAAUUUGUCUUUUAAAUAAAGACUAGAACAAAAGAUUUAACAUUUUAACUAAUUUUUUUAAGAAAUUUUUCAAAAUUUUUUUAAAGUUAAAAAACUUUAAUAUUAUAAAAGACGAUAAGACCCUAUUGAACUUUACUUAAGUUUUACUGGGGCAGUAAAUUAAUUAUUAUUUUAAUAAAAAUAUCAUGAUUAAUAGCCUUAUAUUUGAUAAUUAAGUUACCAUAGGGAUAACAGCGUAAUUAUAUUUUAAAGAUCUUAUAAAAAAUAUAGAUUGCGACCUCGAUGUUGAAUUAAUAACCUUAUUAAAGCAAAAUUUAAAUUAGGAAGUCUGUUCGACUUUUAAAAAAUUACAUGAUUUGAGUUCAGACCGGUGUAAGCCAGGUCGGUUUCUAUCUUUUUUAAAAAUUUUUGUAGUACGAAAGGACCUAAAAAUACAAUUUUAUUCAUAAAAUUGGCAGAUUAAUGCAUUAGAAUUAGAAUCUAAUAAACU
rnacentral:rRNA from 1 species